AUUGAACGCUGGCGGCAUGCCUUACACAUGCAAGUCGAACGGCAGCACGGGGGCAACCCUGGUGGCGAGUGGCGAACGGGUGAGUAAUGCAUCGGAACGUGCCCAGUAGUGGGGGAUAACCAGUCGAAAGACUGGCUAAUACCGCAUACGACCCAAGGGUGAAAGCGGGGGACCGUAAGGCCUCGCGCUAUUGGAGCGGCCGAUGUCUGAUUAGCUAGUUGGCGGGGUAAGAGCCCACCAAGGCGACGAUCAGUAGCUGGUCUGAGAGGGCGACCAGCCACACUGGGACUGAGACACGGCCCAGACUCCUACGGGAGGAAGCAGUGGGGAAUUUUGGACAAUGGGCGCAAGCCUGAUCCAGCCAUGCCGCGUGCGGGAAGAAGGCCUUCGGGUUGUAAACCGCUUUUGGCAGGAACGAAACGGCGCAGGCCAAUACCUUGCGCUAAUGACGGUACCUGCAGAAUAAGCACCGGCUAACUACGUGCCAGCCGCCGCCGUAAUAC
rnacentral:rRNA from 1 species